rnacentral:rRNA from 1 species
UACAGAGGUCCCAAGCGUUGUUCGGAUUUAUUGGGCGUAAAGGGUGCGUAGGUGGUUUAGUAAGUUAUGUGUGAAAUCCCUGGGCUUAACCUGGGAAGGUCAGAUAAGACUGCUAGGCUAGAGUAUAGGAGAGGGUAGUGGAAUUUCCGGUGUAGCGGUGAAAUGCGUAGAGAUCGGAAGGAACACCAGUGGCGAAGGCGGCUACCUGGCCUGAUACUGACACUGAGGCACGAAAGCGUGGGGAGCGAACAGG